rnacentral:rRNA from 1 species
UACGGAGGGUGCAAGCGUUAUCCGGAUUCACUGGGUUUAAAGGGUGCGUAGGAGGGCAGGUAAGUCAGUGGUGAAAUCUCCAAGCUUAACUUGGAAACUGCCGUUGAUACUAUCUGUCUUGAAUAUUGUGGAGGUGAGCGGAAUAUGUCAUGUAGCGGUGAAAUGCUUAGAUAUGACGUAGAACACCAAUUGCGAAGGCAGCUCACUACACAAUUAUUGACUCUGAGGCACGAAAGCGUGGGGAUCAAACAGG